rnacentral:rRNA from 1 species
GGUUAAGUUAGAAAGGGCGCACGGUGAAUGCCUUGGCACUAGGAGCCGAUGAAGGACGGGACUAACACCGAUAUGCUUCGGGGAGCUGUAAGUGAGCUUUGAUCCGGAGAUUUCCGAAUGGGGAAACCCACUGUUCGUAAUGGAACAGUAUCUUUAUCUGAAUACAUAGGAUAUUGAAGGCAGACCCGGGGAACUGAAACAUCUAAGUACCCGGAGGAAGAGAAAGCAAAUGCGAUUUCCUGAGUAGCGGCGAGCGAAACGGAAUUAGCCCAAACCAAGAGGCUUGCCUCUUGGGGUUGUAGGACACUCUAUACGGAGUUACAAAGGAACGAAGUAAAUGAAGCGACCUGGAAAGGUCCGUCGAAGAAGGUAACAACCCUGUAGUUGAAACUUCGUUCCCUCUUGAGUGGAUCCUGAGUACGGCGGAACACGUGAAAUUCCGUCGGAAGCUGGGAGGACCAUCUCCCAAGGCUAAAUACUACCUAGUGACCGAUAGUGAACCAGUACCGUGAGGGAAAGGUGAAAAGCACCCCGGAAGGGGAGUGAAAGAGAUCCUGAAACCGUGUGCCUACAAGUAGUCAGAGCCCGUUAACGGGUGAUGGCGUGCCUUUUGUAGAAUGAACCGGCGAGUUACGAUCCCAUGCAAGGUUAAGCUGAUAAGGCGGAGCCGUAGCGAAAGCGAGUCUGAAUAGGGCGUUUAGUAUGUGGUUGUAGACCCGAAACCAGGUGAUCUACCCAUGUCCAGGGUGAAGUUCAGGUAACACUGAAUGGAGGCCCGAACCCACGCACGUUGAAAAGUGCGGGGAUGAGGUGUGGGUAGCGGAGAAAUUCCAAUCGAACCUGGAGAUAGCUGGUUCUCUCCGAAAUAGCUUUAGGGCUAGCCUCAUGUUGUGAGAGUCUUGGAGGUAGAGCACUGAUUGGACUAGGGGCCCCCAACGGGUUACCGAAUUCAGUCAAACUCCGAAUGCCAAAGACUUAUCCAUGGGAGUCAGACUGCGAGUGAUAAGAUCCGUAGUCAAAAGGGAAACAGCCCAGACCACCAGCUAAGGUCCCCAAGUAUACGUUAAGUGGAAAAGGAUGUGGAGUUGCUUAGACAACCAGGAUGUUGGCUUAGAAGCAGCCACCAUUUAAAGAGUGCGUAAUAGCUCACUGGUCGAGUGACUCUGCGCCGAAAAUGUACCGGGGCUAAACGUAUCACCGAAGCUGUGGAUUGACAUCUUUGAUGUCAGUGGUAGGAGAGCGUUCUAAGUGCUGUGAAGUCAGACCGUAAGGACUGGUGGAGCGCUUAGAAGUGAGAAUGCCGGUAUGAGUAGCGAAAGACAAGUGAGAAUCUUGUCCACCGAAUGCCUAAGGUUUCCUGAGGAAGGCUCGUCCGCUCAGGGUUAGUCGGGACCUAAGCCGAGGCUGAAAAGCGUAGGCGAUGGCCAACAGGUUGAUAUUCCUGUACCACCUCCCCGCCGUUUGAGUAAUGGGGGACGCAGUAGGAUAGGGUAAGCGCGCUGCUGGAUAUGCGCGUUCAAGCAGUUAGGCUGAUGAGUAGGCAAAUCCGCUCAUCAUAAAGGCUGAGCUGUGAUGACGAGGGAAUUAUAGUACCGAAGUUCCUGAUUCCACACUGCCAAGAAAAGCCUCUAGCGAGGCGGGAGGUGCCCGUACCGCAAACCGACACAGGUAGGCGAGGAGAGAAUCCUAAGGUGAUCGAGAGAACUCUCGUUAAGGAACUCGGCAAAAUGACCCCGUAACUUCGGGAGAAGGGGUGCUCUGGUAGGGUGUAUAGCCCGAGAGAGCCGCAGUGAAUAGGCCCAGGCGACUGUUUAGCAAAAACACAGGUCUCUGCGAAGCCGCAAGGCGAAGUAUAGGGGCUGACGCCUGCCCGGUGCUGGAAGGUUAAGAGGAGGGUUAUCCUUUGGGAGAAGCUCUGAAUCGAAGCCCCAGUAAACGGCGGCCGUAACUAUAACGGUCCUAAGGUAGCGAAAUUCCUUGUCGGGUAAGUUCCGACCCGCACGAAAGGCGUAACGAUCUGGGCACUGUCUCAACGAGAGACUCGGUGAAAUUAUAGUACCUGUGAAGAUGCAGGUUACCCGCGACAGGACGGAAAGACCCCGUGGAGCUUUACUGUAGCCUGAUAUUGAAUUUUGGUACAGCUUGUACAGGAUAGGUAGGAGCCUGAGAAGCCGGAGCGCUAGCUUCGGUGGAGGCGUCGGUGGGAUACUACCCUGGCUGUAUUGAAAUUCUAACCCGCGGCCCUGAUCGGGCCGGGAGACAGUGUCAGGUGGGCAGUUUGACUGGGGCGGUCGCCUCCUAAAAUGUAACGGAGGCGCCCAAAGGUUCCCUCAGAAUGGUUGGAAAUCAUUCGUAGAGUGUAAAGGCACAAGGGAGCUUGACUGCGAGACCUACAAGUCGAGCAGGGACGAAAGUCGGGCUUAGUGAUCCGGUGGUUCCGCAUGGAAGGGCCAUCGCUCAACGGAUAAAAGCUACCCCGGGGAUAACAGGCUUAUCUCCCCAAGAGUCCACAUCGACGGGGAGGUUUGGCACCUCGAUGUCGGCUCAUCGCAUCCUGGGGCUGUAGUCGGUCCCAAGGGUUGGGCUGUUCGCCCAUUAAAGCGGUACGCGAGCUGGGUUCAGAACGUCGUGAGACAGUUCGGUCCCUAUCCGUCGUGGGCGUAGGAAAUUUGAGAGGAGCUGUCCUUAGUACGAGAGGACCGGGAUGGACACACCGCUGGUGUACCAGUUGUCUUGCCAAAGGCAUCGCUGGGUAGCUAUGUGUGGACGGGAUAAGUGCUGAAAGCAUCUAAGCAUGAAGCCCCCCUCAAGAUGAGAUUUCCCAUAGCGCAAGCUAGUAAGAUCCCUGAAAGAUGAUCAGGUUGAUAGGUCAGAGGUGGAAGCGUGGCGACAUGUGUAGCUGACUGAUACUAAUCGAUCGAGGACUUAACCAA